GACGAACGCUGGCGGCGUGCUUAACACAUGCAAGUCGAACGGAAAGGCCCUGCUUGCAGGGUACUCGAGUGGCGAACGGGUGAGUAACACGUGGGUGAUCUGCCCUGCACUUCGGGAUAAGCCUGGGAAACUGGGUCUAAUACCGGAUAGGAGCCAUUUUUCGUGUGAUGGUUGGAAAGUUUUUUCGGUGUAGGAUGAGCUCGCGGCCUAUCAGCUUGUUGGUGGGGUAAUGGCCUACCAACGCGGCGACGGGUAGCCGGCCUGAGAGGGUGGACGGCCACAAUGGGACUGAGGUACGGCCCAGACUCCUACGGGAGGCAGCAGUGGGGAAUAUUGCACAAUGGGCGCAAGCCUGAUGCAGCGACGCCGCGUGGGGGAUGACGGCCUUCGGGUUGUAAACUCCUUUCGCUAGGGACGAAGCUGUUUGUGACGGUACCUAGAUAAGAAGCACCGGCUAACUACGUG
rnacentral:rRNA from 1 species